rnacentral:rRNA from 1 species
CACGUAGGGGGCAAGCGUUGUCCGGAUUCAUUGGGCGUAAAGAGCGUGUAGGCGGCCAGACAGGUCCGUUGUGAAAACUCGAGGCUCAACCUCGAGACGCCGAUGGAAACCGUCUGGCUAGAGUCCGGAAGAGGAGAGUGGAAUUCCUGGUGUAGCGGUGAAAUGCGCAGAUAUCAGGAAGAACACCCGUGGCUAAGGCGGCUCUCUAGUACGGUACUGACGCUGAGACGCGAAAGCGUGGGGAGCGAACAGG